rnacentral:rRNA from 1 species
AGAAGAGAGAAUGCCGGAAUGAGUAGCGAGAUGGAGGUGGGAAUCCUCCAGGCCGAAUAUCCAAGGUUUCCAGAGUAAAGCUGAUCUGCUCUGGGUAAGUCGGGGCCUAAGGCGAGGCUGAGAGGCGUAGUCGAUGGACAACAGGUUGAAAUUCCUGUACCAUGUAUCAUCAGAACUGUGGGGACACAGAAGGACAACACAUCCCGGGAAUGGGAAUACCGGGGCAAGCGAGGUAGGAGUACGGUUGGCAAAUCCGCCGUGCAAUCCGAAGACGUGACGCGCAGCGAACUAAAGUAGCGAAGUGUGUGAUUCCGGCUGUCAAGAAAAGCCGCUAUUGUGUGAUACAUGCCCGUACCGUAAACCGACACAGGUAGAUGAGGAGAGAAUCCUAAGGCCGGCGGGAGAAGCAUUGUUAAGGAACUCGGCAAAAUGACCCCGUAACUUCGGGAGAAGGGGUGCCACAGAGAUGUGGCCGCAGAGAAUAGGCUCAAGCAACUGUUUAGCAAAAACACAGGUCUAUGCAAAACCGUAAGGUGAGGUAUAUGGGCUGACGCCUGCCCGGUGCUGGAAGGUUAAGAGGAGAGGUUAGAGCAAUCGAAGCUUUGAAUUUAAGCCCCAGUAAACGGCGGCCGUAACUAUAACGGUCCUAAGGUAGCGAAAUUCCUUGUCGGGUAAGUUCCGACCCGCACGAAAGGCGUAAUGAUUUGAGCGCUGUCUCAACAAUGCACCCGGUGAAAUUGAAAUACCAGUGAAGAUGCUGGUUACCUGCGCCAGGACGGAAAGACCCCAUGGAGCUUUACUCCAGUUUGAUACUGGGAUUCGGUAUUGCAUGUACAGGAUAGGUGGGAGGCUAAGAAACAUGGACGCCAGUCUGUGUGGAGCCAAUGUUGGGAUACCACCCUUGCGAUAUUGGGUUUCUAACCUGCGCCCGUGACCCGGGCGGGGGACAAUGUCAGGCGGGGAGUUUGACUGGGGCGGUCGCCUCCGAAAGGGUAUCGGAGGCGCUCAAAGGUUCCCUCAGGAUGGUUGGAAACCAUCCAAAGAGUGCAAAGGCAUAAGGGAGCUUGACUGCGACACCGACGGGUGGAGCAGGUACGAAAGUAGGACUUAGUGAUCCGGUGGUAUGAAAGUGGGAUUGCCAUCGCUCAACGGAUAAAAGCUACCCUGGGGAUAACAGGCUUAUCACUCCCAAGAGUUCACAUCGACGGAGUGGUUUGGCACCUCGAUGUCGGCUCAUCGCAUCCUGGGGCUGUAGCAGGUCCCAAGGGUUGGGCUGUUCGCCCAUUAAAGCGGUACGCGAGCUGGGUUCAGAACGUCGUGAGACAGUUCGGUCCCUAUCCGGCGCGGGCGUAGGAUAUCUGAGAGGAGCUGUCCUUAGUACGAGAGGACCGGGAUGGACAGACCGCUGGUGUACCUGUUGGCUUACCAAGGCCAUGGCAGGGUAGCCAAGUCUGGACGGGAUAAACGCUGAAGGCAUCUAAGCGUGAAGCCCCCCUCAAGAUGAGAUAUCCCAUCGCGAAAGCGAGUAAGACCCCUUGAAGACGACGAGGUAGAUAGGUUAGAGGUGGAAGUGCAGUAAUGUA